rnacentral:rRNA from 1 species
CAGUUCGGACUGUAGUCUGCAACCCGACUACACGAAGCCGGAAUCGCUAGUAAUCGCGAAUCAGAAUGUCGCGGUGAAUACGUUCCCGGGUCUUGUACACACCGCCCGUCACACCAUGGGAGUCGGAAAUGCCCGAAGUCAGUGACCCAACCGCAAGGAGGGAGCUGCCGAAGGCAGGUCCGGUAACUGGGGUGAAGUCGUAACAAGGUAAC